rnacentral:snRNA from 1 species
GUGCCUGCUUCAGCAGCACAUAUACUAAAAUUGGAACGAUACAGAAAAGAUUAGCAUGGUCCCUGCACAAGGAUGACAUGCAAAUUCGUGAAGCGUUCCAUAUUUUU